rnacentral:rRNA from 1 species
GUAACACGUAGUCAACAUGCCCAGGGGACGUGGAUAACCUCGGGAAACUGAGGAUAAACCGCGAUAGGUCACUACUUCUGGAAUGGGUAAUGACUCAAACCUAUAUGGCCCCUGGAUUGGACUGCGGCCGAUCAGGCUGUUGGUGAGGUAAUGGCCCACCAAACCUGUAACCGGUACGGGCUCUGAGAGGAGGAGCCCGGAGAUGGGCACUGAGACAAGGGCCCAGGCCCUAUGGGGCGCAGCAGGCGCGAAACCUCUGCAAUAGGCGAAAGCCUGACAGGGUUACUCUGAGUGAUUUCCGUUAAGGAGAUCUUUUGGCACCUCUAAAAAUGGUGCAGAAUAAGGGGUGGGCAAGUCUGGUGUCAGCCGCCGCGGUAAUACCAGCACCCCGAGUGGUCGGGACGUUUAUUGGGCCUAAAGCAUCCGUAGCCGGUUCUACAAGUCUUCCGUUAAAUCCAGCUGCUUAACAGAUGGGCCGCGGAAGAUACUAUAGAGCU